CGCCUUUUAUUUCAAAUCGCGCGCGUUUCCCACGAAGUAUCCUGCGAACGGGUUGUCAGGUUCAAAAGGCGGUGCUUUUAUAUAAGCUAAUAAUUUUAUUUUAUUUAACAACUCUAUUGGUGCCAUAAAUUACUUUAAAAUAAUUAGUUCAAUAUCAAUUGGCCCAAAAGAGAAGGUGCGAACGAGGCUUUAUAGAAGUCCCAUGCAAGGCACCUCCCUUCUCUAAUAAGUAAUAACAGAUAUUUAUAAAUACAUAUAUG